rnacentral:rRNA from 1 species
UGGGGAAUUUUGGACAAUGGGGGAAACCCUGAUCCAGCCAUUCCGCGUGAGUGAAGAAGGCCUUCGGGUUGUAAAGCUCUUUCGGCAGGGAAGAAACGCUCUGGCUUAAUACGCCGGGGUAAUGACGGUACCUGAAGAAGAAGCACCGGCUAACUACGUGCCAGCAGCCGCGGUAAUACGUAGGGUGCAAGCGUUAAUCGGAAUUACUGGGCGUAAAGCGUGCGCAGGCGGUUUUGUAAGACAGGUGUGAAAUCCCCGGGCUUAACCUGGGAACUGCGCUUGUGACUGCAAGACUCGAGUACGGCAGAGGGGGGUAGAAUUCCACGUGUAGCAGUGAAAUGCGUAGAGAUGUGGAGGAAUACCGAUGGCGAAGGCAGCCCCCUGGGUCGAUACUGACGCUCAUGCACGAAAGCGUGGGGAGCAAACAG